rnacentral:rRNA from 1 species
CGAAGGGGGCUAGCGUUGCUCGGAAUUACUGGGCGUAAAGGGCGCGUAGGCGGACAGUUUAGUCAGAGGUGAAAGCCCAGGGCUCAACCUUGGAAUUGCCUUUGAUACUGGCUGUCUUGAGUACGGGAGAGGUGUGUGGAACUCCGAGUGUAGAGGUGAAAUUCGUAGAUAUUCGGAAGAACACCAGCGGCGAAGGCGACACACUGGCCCGUUACUGACGCUGAGGCGCGAAAGCGUGGGGAGCAAACAGGAUUAGAUACCCUGGUAGUCCACGCCGUAAACGAUGAGUGCUAGUUGUCGGCAUGCAUGCAUGUCGGUGACGCAGCUAACGCAUUAAGCACUCCGCCUGGGGAGUACGGUCGCAAGAUUA